GGAUGCUCGAGGAAGGAAACGGAUAUUUGAGAUGUCAAGAUAUCCCAACAGUGUCAUCUCUCUAUCAUAUAGCCAUGAUGGAUUACUUUUAGCAGUUGCAUCCAGUUAUUCAUACCAAGAAGCUAACGAAAUAGAAGAGCCACCUCAGAUAUUUAUACAUGAAAUGGGGAACUGUGAUCUUACGUCGCCUUCUUCUGGAGCUUCAAACAAAAAAUGACUGCUAAUA